GGUUGUGUAGUGUAGCGGUUAGCACUUCAGAUUUUGAUUACAUAAUCAAUGCUUUCUGGAAACCCCGGUUCGAUUCCGGGCACGACCU